UUCCGGUUGAUCCUGCCGGAGGUCACCGCUAUUGGGAUUCGAUUAAGCCAUGCGAGUCGAGAGGGUUCGGCCCUCGGCAGACUGCUCAGUAACACGUGGAUAAUCCGCCCUUAGGUGGAGGAUAAUCUCGGGAAACUGAGGAUAAUACUCCAUAGAUCUAAGAUGCUGGAAUGCACUUAGAUUAAAAGUUCCGGCGCCUAAGGAUGAGUCUGCGGACUAUCAGGUUGUAGUCAGGGUAAGGACCUGACUAGCCUACAACGGAUACGGGUUGUGAGAGCAAUAACCCGGAGACGAUAUCUGAGACACGAUAUCGGGCCCUACGGGGCGCAGCAGGCGCGAAACCUUCACACUGUGCGAAAGCGCGAUGAGGGGAUCCCAAGUGCUUGCACGUAAGUGUAAGCUGUUUCUUUGUUUAAAACGCAGAGAGAGGAAGGGCUGGGUAAGACGGGUGCCAGCCGCCGCGGUAAUACCUGCAGCUCGAGUGGUGACCGCUAUUAUUGGGCCUAAAACGUCCGUAGCCGGCUGAGUAAAUGCUUGGGUAAAUCGUGCCGCUUAACGGUACGAAUUCCGGGUAAACUGCUCAGCUUGAGAUCGGGAGAAGCUAGAGGUACUCCUGGGGUAGAGGUGAAAUUCUGUAAUCCUGGGGGGACCACCAGUGGCGAAGGCGUCUAGCUAGAACGAGUCUGACGGUCAGGGACGAAACCCUGGGGCGCAAACCGGAUUAGAUACCCGGGUAGUCCAGGGCGCAAACGCUGCUUGCUUGAUGUUAGCUGGGCUCCGAGCUCAGCUAGUGUCGGAGAGAAGUUGUUAAGCAAGCUGCCUGGGAAGUACGAUCGCAAGAUUGAAACUUAAAGGAAUUGGCGGGGGAGCACAGCAACGGGAGGAGCGUGCGGUUUAAUUGGAGUCAACGCCGGG
rnacentral:rRNA from 1 species